rnacentral:lncRNA from 1 species
AUCCGAUUUUCCUUUCUCCUUGACCGGAUGGAUUAUCCUGCCUCUGUGAAGUGUAACUUUAAAGAGAAGGCGAAUGAGCUUCUAGAGAGCUACCAAGACAGUCACUACUUCAUCAUCAGUAAAAGCUGUUUACUUCCGAUGUGUAAUAAACCCACGUGACCAUUUGGGGGCGCCAGAGUCCAGCACAGGCCGGCCGAGCCCGCGUUCUUCCCGGGGAAUGCAACAGCUGAUUCACCUGCUCCACGCUGAUUAAUAAUCAAACUACCAUUGUGUGGGGCCUAUCUUCCUACUGGACCUCAAAACCCACCUACUCCACAAGUUUAUCUUCACAAUUAUGAGCUACCUGCUUCACGUCACACUACAGCACCUAAAAGCAAAUAAUAAAGUUUAUUCUUGAGUUAACCUGCCUCUGUGUUCAGCCAAUCCCUCCUGCACGUGAGUGAUGCACCUGGAUGCUGCAUAAGGAGAGAUGGAAAUACCUAAGGUGUGGUCCUUACUUCCAAGGGGCUUAUAGCAGAACGAAGACUCGAAAGCAAGCACACCCACAACCACAACACAGCCGCUGGCACACACAGCAGGAAAGACACCGGGUUUAAUGGAGCAGAGAAAGGGGGCGUCAUCUCCAGGCACAGCUCCAUGAAGAAGAUGACAUUGACCUGGGAGCUCUGAGCCUUCAUAUAAUGAGUAAGCUUUCAGCUGGAAGAAAUCCCAAGUGGAGAAACAGGAAGCUAUAAAAGAGCAAUGGUUUUGGAUUCACAAAACCUGCCUGAGUGAACCUGGUUGCCAUUCUAGCACAGAGAUCCUGUCUCAAAAAAAAAAAAAAAAGAGGCCUGAGAGAACGUGUUUAUGUCUUUUCCCAUGUGAAGACACAGCUAGAAAGCACCAUCCUUGAAACUGAGAGCAAGCCCUCAUCAGUCAGUGAAUCUGCUGAUGCCAUGUUCUUGGAAUUCCCAGCUUCCAGAACUGUGAGCAAUAAAUGUACAUAGAUUGCAAA